UGCAGCAUUUAUUCAAACAAAAUUGGCGGCUUCGGUCGUUGGUGAAGUGACUCUGAAUAACUUUGCUGAUGGUACAGUCUUUGUACUGACUACUCAUCUUGCAAGUGUCUGCCUUAGCAACUGGCGACUGAUGUUACUGCGCCGACCGUGACUGGAACGGGAAAAGGAGGAUACGGGUACGACUACGGAGAGGGAGACAGAGAAACCGCUACCACAUAAGGGGAAGGGAGCACGCGCGCAAAUUACCCACUCUCAGGACGAGGAGGUAAAGACGAAAAAUAACGAGUCGGUUCUCUAUGAGGCCCGAUAUCGAACAUGGGUACAAUUUUACCCUUUUCGUUGACCUAUGAGAGGGGAGUCUGGUGCCAGCAGCCGCGGUAAUUCCAGCUCUCUAGGAGAAUAUCGCCAUUGCUGCAGUUAAAAAGCUCGAUCUUGGAUCUGCGCCUGUGGACUCCAGCCCGCCCAAGUGGUGUGAACUGACUCUCCCGGGCUUAUCUGCCGGUGUUCGCUGCUUAAAUUCUUGACCGGGUGCUGCUGCGUGGCUGGCCUUGUUACUUUGAAAAAAUUCAAAGCUCA
rnacentral:rRNA from 1 species